rnacentral:rRNA from 1 species
CCAGAGAUGGAUUGGUGCCUUCGGGAACUUAGAUACAGGUGCUGCAUGGCUGUCGUCAGCUCGUGUCGUGAGAUGUUGGGUUAAGUCCCGNAACGAGCGCAACCCUUUUCCUUAUUUGCCAGCGGGUCAUGCCGGGAACUUUAAGGAUACUGCCAGUGACAAACUGGAGGAAGGCGGGGACGACGUCAAGUCAUCAUGGCCCUUACGGCCAGGGCUACACACGUGCUACAAUGGUCGGUACAAAGGGUUGCUACCUCGCGAGAGGAUGCUAAUCUCAAAAAGCCGAUCGUAGUCCGGAUCGCAGUCUGCAACUCGACUGCGUGAAGUCGGAAUCGCUAGUAAUCGCGGAUCAGAAUGCCGCGGUGAAUACGUUCCCGGGCCUUGUACACACCGCCCGUCACACCAUGGGAGUUUGUUGCACCAGAAGUAGGUAGUCUAACCGCAAGGAGGACGCUUACCACGGUGUGGCCGAUGACUGGGGUGAAGUCGUAACAAGGUAGGCGUAGAUGA